rnacentral:snoRNA from 1 species
AGGGAUGAUGUGAAGGUAGGUUGCUGAGUGGUGAUGAGCUAAUCGGCCCCUGACC